UGCCUAAUUAAUUCGAAGCAACGSGAAAGAACCUUWACCAGGUCUUGACAUCCUUUGACCACUCUAGAGAUAGARCUUUCCCUUCGGGGACAAAGUGACAGGUGGUGCAUGGUUGUCGUCAGCUCGUGUCGUGAGAUGUUGGGUUAAGUCCCGCAACGAGCGCAACCCUUAUUACUAGUUGCCAGCAUUUAGUUGGGCACUCUAGUGAGACUGCCGGUGACAAACCGGAGGAAGGUGGGGACGACGUCAAAUCAUCAUGCCCCUUAUGACCUGGGCUACACACGUGCUACAAUGGAUGGUACAACGAGUUGCGAGACCGCGAGGUUUAGCUAAUCUCUUAAAACCAUUCUCAGUUCGGAUUGUAGGCUGCAACUCGCCUACAUGAAGCCGGAAUCGCUAGUAAUCGCGGAUCAGCAUGCCGCGGUGAAUACGUUCCCGGGCCUUGUACACACCGCCCGUCACACCAUGAGAGUUUGUAACACCCAAAGCCGGUGAGGUAACCCWWMGGGGAGCCAGCCGUCUAAGGUGGGACAGAUGAUUAGGGUGAAGUCG
rnacentral:rRNA from 2 species